rnacentral:rRNA from 1 species
GUGGGGAAUAUUGGACAAUGGGCGCAAGCCUGAUCCAGCAAUGCCGCGUGUGUGAAGAAGGCCUUCGGGUUGUAAAGCACUUUUAUCAGGAACGAAAAGCGACGGAUUAAUACUCUGUCGUGCUGACGGUACCUGAGGAAUAAGCACCGGCUAACUUCGUGCCAGCAGCCGCGGUAAUACGAAGGGUGCAAGCGUUAAUCGGAAUUACUGGGCGUAAAGCGUGCGUAGAUGGUUCAUUAAGUCGGAUGUGAAAGCCCCGGGCUCAACCUGGGAACUGCAUCUGAUACUGGCGGACUAGAGUGUGGUAGAGGAUGGCGGAAUUCCCGGUGUAGCGGUGAAAUGCGUAGAGAUCGGGAGGAACAUCCGUGGCGAAGGCGGCCAUCUGGACCAACACUGACGUUGAGGCACGAAAGCGUGGGGAGCAAACAGGAUUAGAAACCCCAGUAGUCC